rnacentral:rRNA from 1 species
AUCCAGCCAUGCCGCGUGUGUGAAGAAGGCCUUCAUGGUUGUAAAGCACUUUAAGCGAGGAGGAGGCUACUUUAGUUAAUACCUAGAGAUAGUGGACGUUACUCGCAGAAUAAGCACCGGCUAACUCUGUGCCAGCAGCCGCGGUAAUACAGAGGGUGCGAGCGUUAAUCGGAUUUACUGGGCGUAAAGCGUGCGUAGGCGGCUUAUUAAGUCGGAUGUGAAAUCCCCGAGCUUAACUUGGGAAUUGCAUUCGAUACUGGUGAGCUAGAGUAUGGGAGAGGAUGGUAGAAUUCCAGGUGUAGCGGUGAAAUGCGUAGAGAUCUGGAGGAAUACCGAUGGCGAAGGCAGCCAUCUGGCCUAAUACUGACGCUGAGGUACGAAAGCAUGGGGAGCAAACAGGAUUAGAUACCCUGGUAGUCCAUGCCGUAAACGAUGUCUACUAGCCGUUGGGGCCUUUGAGGCUUUAGUGGCGCAGCUAACGCGAUAAGUAGACCGCCUGGGGAGUACGGUCGCAAGACUAAAACUCAAUGAAUUGACGGGGGCCCGCACAAGCGGUGGAGCAUGUGGUUUAAUUCGAUGCAACGCGAAGAACCCUUACCUGGCCUUGACAUACUAGAAACUUUCCAGAGAUGGAUUGCUGCCUUCGGGAAUCUAGAUACAGGUGCUGCAUGGCUCUCGUCAGCAAAACUGUC